GAAGCUUCAGGAAUGUUUUGUCCUAGCACUACAAAUGGUGCACAGAAACUUUCAGCUUUGGUAUCUCACGAGUCGUGGCAAAGGUCAAAUUCUGUAUGCAAAAGCUUCUCUCUCAAUACAUUUUAAAACUCGAAGCAGCUAACAGAAAUCUUUUCUUUUACAUUAGAAGACACAAGGAAAAUGCACUGCUUUUAGAAGUAUACAAUACAAAAGAGGAUUUUGCACCAACAGGCUUUAAGCUUCAACAGAAGUGCUUGCUUUUCAUGGAAGACAAUCAGUGAAAGCUUAAUGGAACCCCACAACACAACAAGUACCAGAAGAAAGAAGUCUGUAGGCACAAAUAUUUAAGACUUGAUAUUAUUUGUGCUGGAGUCAUGUCUUUUGAAUGCAUUCCUAUUUGUAAAUUCAGGAUCUGGAGUUGUGAAAACGAAGCUAAAUUGUAGCAACAAAAGAGAGACACCCUCCAAAAUCUCAUUCGAACACAGAUGCCCAACUUUGAGCCCUCUAUGUGAAUCUACCAGGAAGAUAUGAGAAGCAGAUAUUAUAAUACAGCUUCAUAGAGGAGAAAAUGCUCUCCGUGGUGUUUGAUGUGCAAUGUGCUCUCCUGGGCUGUUGCUGCAGUGAACAUGUGCCAUCAAGGUUGACCUCUGUUAAGGAAGAGUUUGAAAGCC